AUCACUUCUCGGCCUUUUGGCUAAGAUCAAGUGUAGUAUCUGUUCUUAUCAGUUUAAUAUUUUUUCAUUUUUACACUGCAAUGCUAUCAAACUUUCUAACUUUUGAUAGUCUAAUAGAUGGGAAAAUCUCA
ensembl:snRNA U2 U2 spliceosomal RNA